AGGUAACUGGCCGUUGGGAACGACCCGAUUGAAAUAUAAGGAUGGCUCGGAUGAAUUAAGUAAAUAAAAUUUUAAUUAGCGUCAUUAAAUUAGAAUGUAAUAAAUUAUGUUUCACUUCCAAAAAGAUUGUAUAAUUCUGGUACAUCAUCAAAAUCUCACGUUGAAACGAGAGUAGGUAGUAUCAUAAGUAGGGAAUCUUAGCCUAGCCCUGGCAUGCAAGGAAUAAGCAAUUAAGCUGGCUAUGGAAACUAGGGAUAGGGUUUGAUGUGUUCCAAGAAGGUGGCAUUAUUGAUCCUGGGCAUUUGAUUUGAACAAAAGGCAAGGAGAAUGGGAACUAUAAAACGUGACUAUAAAGGACAUAUUCUUCGACUAGCUCCAAAUGGUAAAAACUCAAAAUGCUGCCCUUUAUAAUCAAUGGAGCUGCCAUCGAACCUUUCUGGGAUGAAUUCUUCUGGGUCCUUCCAAGACUCAAGGUCUCGUGCAAUUGCCUAGCCAUUGACAAAGACAAGUGUUUUGGGGUCAAUAUCAUAACCUUGUAUUUUGAAAUGAGCCAUGUUUUCUCUUGGAAUAAUAAUUGGAGCUGGAGGAUGCAAUCUGGUAUCUUUGACUAUCAUCUUGACGUAUUGAAGCUCAUUUGUAUCUCGUUCACUGAUAUUUCCUUUGUUUCCAACGCAUCUUCUAAUUUCUUCUUGGGCUUUCUUCAUCAGUUUCGGUUUCCUAGCUAGCUCUGCCAUCGCCCACAUCAUUGUAGUUGUACUGGUAUCUGUUCCACCUAAAAAUAAAUUAUGAUUGACGAAAGUACCAUGAGAUUUGUUUGCAUCAAUGGAUGACUAAAUAAAGAUGACACAAAUAAUUGGAGUUAAUACUAAGGUUUUUGGAUGUAGGAUUUUUCACUGACAUUUGUGCACUUAAUAAAAUUACAUUUGUUUCA